GUGAAUCAUCGAAUCUUUGAACGCAAAUUGCACUCUCUUCGGAGAGUAUGCCUGUUUGAGGGUCAGCCUAAAAAAAAUCGACAUAGUUGCUGUUACGCGGUAACAUUCGUCGGAAAUUGGGUCAUCUUAAACCUUUGGGUUUAAGCGGCUUAAAAUUUUCUUUACGAUUCCAAGAACGUUUCUAAGAUUUUAUUUUCUUAUACGUUUAAGGUAUCGAUCUUUUUUAGCCUUGCCCUUGCAUUGGGACUUCGUCCUAAA
rnacentral:misc_RNA from 1 species